rnacentral:lncRNA from 1 species
UCGUUUAGCCUUGCUACCCUGAGGCUCUACGUGCGCUGGUGGUCCUGAUUGACCAAUUGGUGAGGUGUUUUCCCUGGAUCACAUCUUGAAUGGAAGGGCCUUCCUUCCCUUCCUCCUCAAAGGUAACACAUCAAUUCAUAUCGUCCUCUAGAAACAGGUUCUUUAUUACUGCCAGCGUCUCAGCUUCCUCUGAUCCGUAUAUGACAUUGGUGGGCUGAAAGCUAUGCUCUAACUGAGGUAGAGGGUGGUCCAGUUAAUAGUAGCGACCGCUCCAUGGUGGCGACCAGUGCUGGAACUCUUCCCAAGUGUACUUAUAGCCCAGACAAAUGUUGAGGCUUGAUCCCCUGUCGACUAGAAUCCUGGUGAUAAAGUGAUCCUCGCAUUGCACAGUGAUAUGCAGAGCUUUAUUGUGACCAAGCCCUUCUGGUGGUAAUUCAUCUUUCGUUGAAGGUGAUCUUAUAGCUUUCC